rnacentral:rRNA from 1 species
CAUAUCAAUAAGCGGAGGAAAAGAAACUAACAAGGAUUCCCCUAGUAACUGCGAGUGAAGCGGGAAAAGCUCAAAUUUAAAAUCUGGCAGUCUCUGGCUGUCCGAGUUGUAAUCUAGAGAAGUAAUGCCCGUGCUGGACCGUGUAUAAGUCUCCUGGGAUGGGGCGUCAUAGAGGGUGAGAAUCCCGUCUUUGACACGGACUGCCAGUGCAUUGUGGUAUGCUCUCAAAGAGUCGAGUUGUUUGGGAAUGCAGCUCAAAAUGGGUGGUAAAUUCCAUCUAAAGCUAAAUAUUGGCGAGAGACCGAUAGCGAACAAGUACCGUGAGGGAAAGAUGAAAAGAACUUUGGAAAGAGAGUUAAACAGUACGUGAAAUUGCUGAAAGGGAAACGCUUGAAGUCAGUCACGUUGGCCAGGGAUCAGCCUUGCUUUUGCAUGGUGUACUUUCUGGUUGACGGGUCAGCAUCAAUUUUGACUGCUGGAAAAGGGCCUGGGGAAUGUGGCAGCUUAGGCUGUGUUAUAGCCCCUGGUCGCAUACAGUGGUUGGGAUUGAGGAACUCAGCACGCUGCAAGGCCGGGUUUCGACCACGUUCGUGCUUAGGAUGCUGGCAUAAUGGCUUUAAGCGACCCGUCUUGAAACACGGACCAAGGAGUCUAACAUGCCUGCGAGUAUUUGGGUGGAAAACCCGAGUGCGCAAUGAAAGUGAAAGUUGAGAUCCCUGUCGUGGGGAGCAUCGACGCCCGGACCAGAACUUUUGGGACGGAUCCGCGGUGGAGCAUGUAUGUUGGGACCCGAAAGAUGGUGAACUAUGCCUGAAUAGGGUGAAGCCAGAGGAAACUCUGGUGGAGGCUCGUAGCGAUUCUGACGUGCAAAUCGAUCGUCAAAUUUGGGUAUAGGGGCGAAAGACUAAUCGAACCAUCUAGUAGCUG